rnacentral:rRNA from 1 species
CACGUAGGUGGCGAGCGUUGUCCGGAAUUACUGGGUGUAAAGGGCGUGUAGGCGGGGCAGCAAGUCAGAUGUGAAAUACCGGGGCUCAACCCCGGGGCUGCAUUUGAAACUGCAGUUCUUGAGUGCAGGAGAGGGAAGCGGAAUUCCUAGUGUAGCGGUGAAAUGCGUAGAUAUUAGGAGGAACACCAGUGGCGAAGGCGGCUUCCUGGACUGUAACUGACGCUGAGGCGCGAAAGCGUGGGUAGCGAACAGG